rnacentral:lncRNA from 1 species
ACCUUCUACAGGAGCUUAGUGUUGGAUAUGUGUGGUUUUCUUGUGUGCAGUAUGACACCCGGGAAAGGAGAUAGCCUUAGAUAAUUAAAUACUGUUCUGUUUCCUAGCCACCCGUGGGGCUAUAUUUAUUUGGUCAGUUCAGUUGUGUUUUUCUGAAUCUAUGAACCUACAAGACCAGAGAGCUCAACUAAGUUCUCAGAAGGAUAGCAUGUAUGGUGAGCCUGUCCAGACAAUGCUCAACAUGCCAGAGAACAGAAGAUUUAAACAGUAUGUUGGCAGCACUUUAUUAUACUUGGUGUAGUUGCCUGAGACCUCCUAUCCAUAGUUCCUUCCUUCUUCCCUUCUUCCCUGCCUCCCUCCUCUCUCUUCAAAUAGAAUAUAUGUCUAGCAACACCAUAUGCCUGACACUGUCUGUUCUUCCUUGCCUUGGUGGUUCCUGACCAUGGGCUCUAGCCCUCAGUCCUCGUUCUCCAUCCUCCCUUCGAAGUGAGUGAUGAUGUGGGAUAUGUUUCCGCCUCAGGGAUUCAUCUCAGUUCCCACCAUCCACCCUCUUCAUCCUAACUCAGGUCCCUUGACACAGAACCUUCAGAUACUUGCUUACCUGAUCCAGCUUCUGUGACGAAAAAGGGCAGCAGUACUGUGACAGUCUUACUGGGUAAGUUCUGCUCUUUCUGUUCCUCUCAAUGCUGUGUGUCUGGGGAAGACCAGUGUAAGCACUGCAAGAUGAGCUUUCCAACUGAGCUGGAACGUUCAUGUCACCUGUGGGGAGGCCAGUACUCUGGUGUCUGGAGAGUAGCAGCAGCUACUUCUGGCAGUGGCUUCUCUGAGUGGAGGGCAGGAAUGGCCAAAUAAGUCUCUCAUUCUCACAUCUCUGGUCUUCACAGAUGACUAUAUCCAGGAUCCUUCAUGGUAUCCUGAGUCGGGGCGUGGGAUAACCUCUGUUCCCCUGCUGUGGUAUUUGUAAAAAUAUGAUGCCAGGUAUCAUGGAAUUUCCAUCUCUGGAGAGACUGAGGCAGGAGAUUUAUGAGUUGCUAGCUAGCCUGGUCUUCAGGCACUUGCUUUUUUUCUGGACUACAAAAGCAAGAACAAGUGCGGCUGUCCUCAAAAGUCACACUUGUCAUGUGAUACUUAAAAUAUAAUGUUUUCUCAUCAAUAAAAGAAGGUUCUGUUCAAUGGGAAAGUAUGGGAAGUAUUAGAGGGUGGGCAAAAUGUUUAUAGUCACUCAAAGAUGACCACUGCCAACAUUUGGCUAAUAAUGUUUGGUUUCUGUUUUAUUCCUAUAAAUAUACUCAUGUGUGCUUGUGUGUGUGUGUGUGUGUGUGUGUGUGUGUGUGUGUGUUUAAUUGAGCUUCAUUGCUAUUUUUUCUCAUCUGCCUGUCUAUCCUAAACUCUGCCCCAUGGCAUUCAGUAAUUUAUCAUCUUUGGUUUUUUUGUUUUUUUGUUUUUUGAUUUUUUGUUUGUUUGUUUGUUUUUUAACAAAAGAGUCUAGAUAAUAUAUAUAAUUAACACUUGCUCUGUGCAUGUCCAUCUGGAACCAGGUGCAAAAGCUGGGUGGCAUUUGUUAGGUACCUUCUCUGCGUGUUCCCCUCUCCAGUUUGUUCUAGUGUCUUGCUGUUCUUUAUACAAGCAAGUGGCUCUGUCAGGAGGCAGGAACACGAGGCCAAAUUGCCCUCUGAAAACUUUUUUGCCCAUUGCAUUUUCAGAAUUAGUUUGAGAAAGUGCCUGCUGCUCUGAGAAUUAUCAGAGUUUUUAACCUUUGCCGAUUUGUCAAAACAUGACAUUUCACUCUUUCCAUCCCCACAGCUUUUAUCCCGGCGGUGGCGGCACAGAGCACACCCCACCCUCUUUGUGGGGUGUUUGUAUCUGAAUUGCUAGCUCAGCCUCCUUGCACUUUCCAUUAUUCCUGUAGUUUUUAUGUUUUUUUUUUUCUUUUUUUUUUUUUUUCUGUCAAACUCAUGCAUACACAUCAUUUUAAGAGCCAGAUCCUUCUACAAGGUUGUCAGAGAAGCGUCAGCCCUCCUGCCUCCCAGCUCCACCCGAAUAUUAUGCAUUACCUGUAACUGCCUUAACAGAUUCGCUUGACAUUUACAUCCUAAUGCUAAGUAACAUUCUUGUUUUUCUGCUCCUUGAUUUUCUUUGUGUGUGUGUGAUUUUUUUUUUUUUUUUUUAGUCUUAGGCAUCAUUUUGAUUGCUCUAUUGUUGAAGACAAGCAUUUAACGCUCUUUUUACAUAUGCCCCUGUCUUCACCCUGCACACACAACCCUGUACUAUCCUCCCAAUAGAUUAUUUUGAAACACUUGCUUUAUCAAUACUUAAGAGGUUACACCCCUUGUUGAGUAUUAUGAACACUCUCACAAAGCAUAACAACCUGGACCUGAGUAUUUAUCUUCUCCCUAGUAUUUUUGCUCUUCUGGAGUCUGUGUGUGUGUGUGUGUGUGUGUGUGUGUGUGUGUGUUGUGUUGUUUUUUGUGUAGCUCAGGCUAACUCACAGCCUUCCCAUGUAUGCAGAAACAUGAAGUGUUUAAGAGAUACGUAUAUCAUCUUGAAGAAAUUUCUUCCUGGAGUCAGCUUCAUGUCUUCUUAUGGGCUAGCUCAUCUUUAGGCUGACACCAUCUUGAUCUUCCCAUCUCCUCCUAAGAACAGGUUCCUUUGGUUUUCUCUCUCUCUCUUAGAUGGGUUGCUGAUUUUUAUAGAUGCCAUGAUAUUCUUUUUGUCAGGAGGGGAGUUAUCCCCAUUUUGCUAGAAUAUCAAGAAAAAAUUUGCAUAAUCAAUUGUCCACAUUGACAUUGAUAAAUCAGCUAGGUAUAAAAUUCUCAGUUACAGAGUCUUUCCCUCAGAUUUUCAGAAAUACAUGGACUUGAAAAAACAGGUUAGAAACUCUCAGGUUAAGAAAGAGAUGGAGAUGGAGAUGAGCAUCAGUGUACCAAUAAUAACAGGGAUACAAAAGCCUUGUCUUCUAGCUUCCAGGCCUACUGUGAAAAGCCGUAAGCCCUUGUCUUUGCUCAGUCUUGAGGGAAUGUGUACUAUUUUCCUGUUUUCUCUCUUUGUAUUAGAAUUUCAUUGCUGUAUGUUGAUUUGGAUAUAUGCUCAUCUACUUUCUUUUGAUCCAAAACUUUCUCUUUUAACUCUUGAAGCUAUUUUUUCACCCUCUUUCUUUCAUUCUUUCACCCUGAGGACCUUAAUUAUAUAUGGAAUCACCUUGACUGAUUGUAUAGUGUUACAAAGUCCUUCCCUCCAGUUUUGCUCUAUUAAUUUUUACUCAAAUGCUCCCUCCCUCCCUCCCUCCCUUCCUUCCUUCCUUCCUUCCUUCCUUCCUUCCUUCCUUCACUUUACAUUUAAUUAUUUUCCAUUAAGGCUUUUAUUCUAAAAUUGUGGUGUUAGUGAGAUGGAUUAACAAUUAAGAGCUUGGAAUGUCCUUAUAGAGGACCAGGGUUUGGUUCCCAGCACCCAUGGUGGGUGGCUUACAAUCACUUUUUACCUAGAGUUAUGUGAGACCUGAUGGUCUUUUCUAGCAAUGGUUGUACCUUAAUGCAUGCAUGUGUGUACACAUGUGUGUGGAUGCACACAUACACAUAUACCUCUUCCCCCUCAUACACAUGCGCGUGCCCAUGUGAGCACAUACACAUGCACACACACACGAAAAUAUUAAAGUAACUCUUAAAGUUAAAAAUUGUUAGGUUAAAGAAAUAAAUCAUUUCACUUUUUCCUUAUAUUUUUUCAUUUGCAUUUUUGUUUGAAUAAAAAAGUAUUUCAAUAACAAAGCUCAUAUAGUCAUUUUGUUCUAGACUUCUGUAAUUUUUAUGUCUUCUAUUUCAACAUUUACACCAUUAAUUCAUUAUAAUAAUAUCUUAUUUCUACCUUUAUUGUAUUGCAUAUCAUCUUUAAAAUCUGUGUAAGUGUUUUGGUUGCGUGUAUCUGUACAUUAUGUCUGUGCAAUGCUGAUGUUGACUGAAGAGGUAUUGGUCCCCAAGAAACUAGAGUUAGAGGUGCCUGUAAACCAUCACAUGGUAACCAAACAUGGCUCUUCUGCAAGACCAGCUAGUGCUCUUAAACAUUGAGCCAUAUCUUCAGCCCCCUAUACAGGCCUCUACUGUUUUGAUUCCUGUGUUGAUUUUGCUCACUUGUAUUGGCUUACUAAAUUCUUAGGCCAGCUGUAGUUUGUUUUCAUUAAUUACGCCAUAUUGGCAAUAGUCUUCCUUUAAUUUUUAAAUUUUUUUUCCCUUUUAGUCUGAUUUGUUUUUCAGGUGGAUUAUAACGAUACUGUGAAUCUUUAAACAGUCUAGAUUUUCUGUGGACUUUAUAAAGUUGUCCAUCAAAGCCAGACAUAGUGGUGCAUGCCUGAAAUCCUAGCACUCGGGAGGCUGAUGUAGAAGGAUCUUGAGCUCAAGACCAGACUGGCUACAUAGGGAAACACUGUCUC